rnacentral:tRNA from 1 species
GCCGAUGUGGUGAAAUUGGUAUACACGCUGCCUUGAGGUGGCAGUGACUUUAUGUCAUGCCGGUUCGAGUCCGGCCAUCGGUA